GCACCCCCUGCAUUGGAAGGUGAAGCCAUUUUUUUUUAAUUAAUUAAUUAUUUUUGGCUGCAUUGAUCUUUGUUGCCCCACAUCCUCACUUUACUUCCUGUUUUCUUUUUGAUAACGCCCAUCCUAAUGGGUGUGAAGUGGUAUCCCAUUGUGGUUUAGAUUUGCAUUUCCCUAAUGCUGAUGAGAUCGAGCAUCCUUUCGCGUGCUUGUUGGUCACUUGUGUAUCUUCCUUGGAGAUGUGUCCUUUGCCCAUUUUAAAAAUUGGUUUUUGCUAUUGAGCAGUAGUAGUUCUUUAUAUAUUCUGGAUAUUAACCCCUAAACACUGUUUCCAAUUCUUAACUUUCAUGGUGCACUAUAUACAGUGGCACUCCAUCCCCCAAAUCAAAACCACACCUCAAGCCCAAGGGUCUCUGUCUCAAUCCGGCAGCAGUGACCCUGCUGCCCUGAGAGUUCACCUUGCCCUCCCCGCAGGUCCAGCUCUGACACACCCUCACUCUGUGUCUAAACUCAGCAAAGCAGUUUGUUUUUAAGUAUAUUUGGCAUUUGGUAGUUAAAGUAUUUUUGCCUCACUUCUGCUUUUUAGAUUACUUGGAGUAAGAAGAAAAAGAAGAAGAACUAAAAUGUGUUGAGUGUUGCCACAUACCAGGCACUCUUCUGAGCAUCUUACACAGUAUCACCUCCCUGUUAUGCGUGAGAAAACUGAAGCUUGGAGAGAUCCGCUGACUUGUCCUAAAAAUUACACUCUUUGCCUUAAGGGAAACUUACAGGAAUGGAUUUGAUAAAUUAUGGAAGAGGAUUCUGCACAUGAAGGGGAAAAUGAGUUGAGCAAAGGCAGUUAAGAUGUCUAGUCCUAUUAAUCUUGAACCCACUUUGAACUGACGGUAAACAUUAUUGACAAUGUCUGAACAUGGGUAAGUAGCUCUGGUCUCUGGUUACGUUUUCCAAUCUCCAGCCCAUUCUUCCUCUGCCCCCUAGUGGACACAGCGCUGAACAGAACAUGUAACAGAAGGAGCUCGCUAGAAAAAAAAGCAAAGAGGCACAGAAAGAAAUGAUAAGCCCUUCUAUCUGUCUAGGAACCUCCAGAUUCUUUAUCUCUCUUUCUUUUUUUUUUUUUUUUU